rnacentral:rRNA from 1 species
UUUGAUCCUGGCUCAGAACGAACGCUGGCGGCAGGCCUAAUACAUGCAAGUCGAGCGCGCCCUUCGGGGUGAGCGGCGGACGGGUGAGUAACGCGUGGGAAUAUGCCCUUCUCUAAGGAAUAGCCUCUGGAAACGGAGAGUAAUACCUUAUACGCCCUUUGGGGGAAAGAUUUAUCGGAGAAGGAUUAGCCCGCGUUAGAUUAGGUAGUUGGUGGGGUAAUGGCCUACCAAGCCUACGAUCUAUAGCUGGUUUGAGAGGAUGAUCAGCCACACUGGGACUGAGACACGGCCCAGACUCCUACGGGAGGCAGCAGUAGGGAAUCUUAGACAAUGGGGGCAACCCUGAUCUAGCCAUGCCGCGUGUGUGAUGAAGGCCCUAGGGUCGUAAAGCACUUUCGCCAGAGAUGAUAAUGACAGUAUCUGGUAAAGAAACCCCGGCUAACUUCGUGCCAGCAGCCGCGGUAAUACGAAGGGACCUAGCGUAGUUCGGAAUUACUGGGCUUAAAGAGUUCGUAGGUGGUUGAAAAAGUUGGUGGUGAAAUCCCAGAGCUUAACUCUGGAACUGCCAUCAAAACUUUUCAGCUAGAGUAUGAUAGAGGAAAGCAGAAUUUCUAGUGUAGAGGUGAAAUUCGUAGAUAUUAGAAAGAAUACCAAUUGCGAAGGCAGCUUUCUGGAUCAUUACUGACACUGAGGAACGAAAGCAUGGGUAGCGAAGAGGAUUAGAUACCCUCGUAGUCCAUGCCGUAAACGAUGUGUGUUAGACGUUGGAAAUUUAUUUUCAGUGUCGCAGGGAAACCGAUAAACACACCGCCUGGGGAGUACGACCGCAAGGUUAAAACUCAAAUGAAUUGACGGGGACCCGCACAAGUAGUGGAGCAUGUGGUUUAAUUCGAAGAUACGCGCAGAACCUUACCAACACUUGACAUGUUCGUCGCGACUCUAAGAGAUUAGAGUUUUCGGUUCGGCCGGACGAAACACAGGUGCUGCAUGGCUGUCGUCAGCUCGUGUCGUGAGAUGUUGGGUUAAGUCCCGCAACGAGCGCAACCCUCACUUUUAGUUGCCAUCAUUAAGUUGGGCACUCUGAAAGAACUGCCAGUGAUAAGCUGGAGGAAGGUGGGGAUGACGUCAAGUCCUCAUGGCCCUUACGUGUUGGGCUACACACGUGCUACAAUGGCAUCUACAACAGGAAGCAAAACGGCAACGUUAAGCAAAUCCCGAAAAGAUGCCUCAGUUCGGAUUGCACUCUGCAACUCGAGUGCAUGAAGCUGGAAUUACUAGUAAUCGUGGAUCAGCGUGCCACGGUGAAUGCGUUCCCGGGUCUUGUACACACCGCCCGUCACACCAUGGGAGUUGGUUCUACCU